rnacentral:rRNA from 1 species
UACGUAGGGUGCUAGCGUUGUUCGGAAUCAUUGGGCGUAAAGCGCGUGUAGGUGGUUAACUAAGUCGGGUGUGAAAUCCCUAGGCUCAACCAAGGAAGUGCAUUCGAAACUAGUUAACUAGAAGAUGGUAGAGGAAGGUGGAAUUCCAGGUGUAGAGGUGAAAUUCGUAGAUAUCUGGAGGAAUACCGGUGGCGAAGGCGGCCUUCUGGACCAUCCUUGACACUAAGACGCGAAAGCGUGGGUAGCAAACAGG